UUUAAGGUUGCAGAGUACUACCAUGAUCCCACUUUACAUUAUUGGGCUCGGUUUCCUGGCUAGGCCGAAAAAGUGUACGAACAUUGACUAGGGCCCAGCCCCAUUUGCAUCUCUAACUGGAUGUACAGUAGAUGAUUUACAUAUGGCAGAAGGCUAGAGUGGCAUGCAGGGUAUCGAGAAGUUUACCUUAGCAUGCACAAUAUCUUGAGAAGUUUACGUUACGCGCUCAUGAAUUUAGGCAGCAUGGGGUUGUAUUCUUUUCUUUUAUUUUUUUCCCCUUUUUUGCUAGUGUUGCUAUGCAAUUUGG
rnacentral:lncRNA from 1 species